UACAGAGGUCUCAAGCGUUGUUCGGAUUCAUUGGGCGUAAAGGGUGCGUAGGUGGCGCCGUAAGUCAGGUGUGAAAUCUCGGGGCUCAACCCCGAAACUGCACUUGAUACUGCGGUGCUCGAGUACUGGAGAGGAGAUUGGAAUUUACGGUGUAGCAGUGAAAUGCGUAGAUAUCGUAAGGAAGACCAGUGGCGAGGGCGGGUCUCUGGACAGUUCCUGACGCUGAGGCACGAAGGUCAGGGGAGCAAACGGG
rnacentral:rRNA from 1 species